rnacentral:tRNA from 1 species
UAUUAAUUAAUAAAAUUAUUUUGGCAGAUUAGUGCAAUGAGUUUAGAAUUCAUAAAAAUAAAUUUAUAUUUAUAAGUAAUAC